rnacentral:rRNA from 1 species
AGCGAACGCUGGCGGCAGGCCUAACACAUGCAAGUCGAACGAUCCUUCGGGAUAGUGGCGGACGGGUGAGUAACACGUGGGAACGUACCUUUAGGUUCGGGAUAACUCAGGGAAACUUGAGCUAAUACCGGAUAAGCCCUUUUGGGGAAAGAUUUAUCACCUUUAGAGCGGCCCGCGUUAGAUUAGCUAGUAGGUGAGGUAAAGGCUCACCAAGGCUCCGAUCUAUAGCUGGUCUGAGAGGAUGAUCAGCCACACUGGGACUGAGACACGGCCCAGACUCCUACGGGAGGCAGCAGUGGGGAAUCUUGCGCAAUGGGCGAAAGCCUGACGCAGCCAUGCCGCGUGAAUGAUGAAGGUCUUAGGAUUGUAAAAUUCUUUUAGCAGGGACGAUAAUGACGGUACCUGCAGAAAAAGCCCCGGCUAACUUCGUGCCAGCCGCCGCCGUAAGAC